GGGUUGUGAGGUUAAGCGACUAAGCGUACACGGUGGAUGCCCUGGCAGUCAGAGGCGAUGAAGGACGUGCUAAUCUGCGAUAAGCGUCGGUAAGGUGAUAUGAACCGUUAUAACCGGCGAUUUCCGAAUGGGGAAACCCAGUGUGUUUCGACACACUAUCAUUAACUGAAUCCAUAGGUUAAUGAGGCGAACCGGGGGAACUGAAACAUCUAAGUACCCCGAGGAAAAGAAAUCAACCGAGAUUCCCCCAGUAGCGGCGAGCGAACGGGGAGGAGCCCAGAGCCUGAAUCAGUGUGUGUGUUAGUGGAAGCGUCUGGAAAGGCGCGCGAUACAGGGUGACAGCCCCGUACACAAAAAUGCACAUACUGUGAGCUCGAUGAGUAGGGCGGGACACGUGGUAUCCUGUCUGAAUAUGGGGGGACCAUCCUCCAAGGCUAAAUACUCCUGACUGACCGAUAGUGAACCAGUACCGUGAGGGAAAGGCGAAAAGAACCCCGGCGAGGGGAGUGAAAAAGAACCUGAAACCGUGUACGUACAAGCAGUGGGAGCCUCUUUUAUGGGGUGACUGCGUACCUUUUGUAUAAUGGGUCAGCGACUUAUAUUCUGUAGCAAGGUUAACCGAAUAGGGGAGCCGAAGGGAAACCGAGUCUUAACUGGGCGUUAAGUUGCAGGGUAUAGACCCGAAACCCGGUGAUCUAGCCAUGGGCAGGUUGAAGGUUGGGUAACACUAACUGGAGGACCGAACCGACUAAUGUUGAAAAAUUAGCGGAUGACUUGUGGCUGGGGGUGAAAGGCCAAUCAAACCGGGAGAUAGCUGGUUCUCCCCGAAAGCUAUUUAGGUAGCGCCUCGUGAACUCAUCUCCGGGGGUAGAGCACUGUUUCGGCAAGGGGGUCAUCCCGACUUACCAACCCGAUGCAAACUGCGAAUACCGGAGAAUGUUAUCACGGGAGACACACGGCGGGUGCUAACGUCCGUCGUGAAGAGGGAAACAACCCAGACCGCCAGCUAAGGUCCCAAAGUCAUGGUUAAGUGGGAAACGAUGUGGGAAGGCCCAGACAGCCAGGAUGUUGGCUUAGAAGCAGCCAUCAUUUAAAGAAAGCGUAAUAGCUCACUGGUCGAGUCGGCCUGCGCGGAAGAUGUAACGGGGCUAAACCAUGCACCGAAGCUGCGGCAGCGACACUAUGUGUUGUUGGGUAGGGGAGCGUUCUGUAAGCCUGUGAAGGUGUGCUGUGAGGCAUGCUGGAGGUAUCAGAAGUGCGAAUGCUGACAUAAGUAACGAUAAAGCGGGUGAAAAGCCCGCUCGCCGGAAGACCAAGGGUUCCUGUCCAACGUUAAUCGGGGCAGGGUGAGUCGACCCCUAAGGCGAGGCCGAAAGGCGUAGUCGAUGGGAAACAGGUUAAUAUUCCUGUACUUGGUGUUACUGCGAAGGGGGACGGAGAAGGCUAUGUUGGCCGGGCGACGGUUGUCCCGGUUUAAGCGUGUAGGCUGGUUUUCCAGGCAAAUCCGGAAAAUCAAGGCUGAGGCGUGAUGACGAGGCACUACGGUGCUGAAGCAACAAAUGCCCUGCUUCCAGGAAAAGCCUCUAAGCAUCAGGUAACAUCAAAUCGUACCCCAAACCGACACAGGUGGUCAGGUAGAGAAUACCAAGGCGCUUGAGAGAACUCGGGUGAAGGAACUAGGCAAAAUGGUGCCGUAACUUCGGGAGAAGGCACGCUGAUAUGUAGGUGAAGUCCCUCGCGGAUGGAGCUGAAAUCAGUCGAAGAUACCAGCUGGCUGCAACUGUUUAUUAAAAACACAGCACUGUGCAAACACGAAAGUGGACGUAUACGGUGUGACGCCUGCCCGGUGCCGGAAGGUUAAUUGAUGGGGUCAGCGCAAGCGAAGCUCUUGAUCGAAGCCCCGGUAAACGGCGGCCGUAACUAUAACGGUCCUAAGGUAGCGAAAUUCCUUGUCGGGUAAGUUCCGACCUGCACGAAUGGCGUAAUGAUGGCCAGGCUGUCUCCACCCGAGACUCAGUGAAAUUGAACUCGCUGUGAAGAUGCAGUGUACCCGCGGCAAGACGGAAAGACCCCGUGAACCUUUACUAUAGCUUGACACUGAACAUUGAGCCUUGAUGUGUAGGAUAGGUGGGAGGCUUAGAAGUGUGGACGCCAGUCUGCAUGGAGCCGACCUUGAAAUACCACCCUUUAAUGUUUGAUGUUCUAACGUUGACCCGUGAUCCGGGUUGCGGACAGUGUCUGGUGGGUAGUUUGACUGGGGCGGUCUCCUCCUAAAGAGUAACGGAGGAGCACGAAGGUUGGCUAAUCCUGGUCGGACAUCAGGAGGUUAGUGCAAUGGCAUAAGCCAGCUUGACUGCGAGCGUGACGGCGCGAGCAGGUGCGAAAGCAGGUCAUAGUGAUCCGGUGGUUCUGAAUGGAAGGGCCAUCGCUCAACGGAUAAAAGGUACUCCGGGGAUAACAGGCUGAUACCGCCCAAGAGUUCAUAUCGACGGCGGUGUUUGGCACCUCGAUGUCGGCUCAUCACAUCCUGGGGCUGAAGUAGGUCCCAAGGGUAUGGCUGUUCGCCAUUUAAAGUGGUACGCGAGCUGGGUUUAGAACGUCGUGAGACAGUUCGGUCCCUAUCUGCCGUGGGCGCUGGAGAACUGAGGGGGGCUGCUCCUAGUACGAGAGGACCGGAGUGGACGCAUCACUGGUGUUCGGGUUGUCAUGCCAAUGGCACUGCCCGGUAGCUAAAUGCGGAAGAGAUAAGUGCUGAAAGCAUCUAAGCACGAAACUUGCCCCGAGAUGAGUUCUCCCUGACUCCUUGAGAGUCCUGAAGGAACGUUGAAGACGACGACGUUGAUAGGCCGGGUGUGUAAGCGCAGCGAUGCGUUGAGCUAACCGGUACUAAUGAACCGUGAGGCUUAACCUUACAACGCCGAAGCUGUU
rnacentral:rRNA from 1 species